rnacentral:rRNA from 1 species
GACGAACGCUGGCGGCGUGCUUAACACAUGCAAGUCGAACGCUUAAGUCCUGGCUUGUGUUGGGUUGGGUGAGUGGCGAACGGGUGAGUAACACGUGAGUAACCUGCCCUCUUCUUUGGGAUAACGCCCGGAAACGGGUGCUAAUACUGGAUAUUCACUGACCCCCGCUUGGGGGUUGGGGGAAAGGAUUGUUCUGGUGGGGGAUGGGCUCGCGGCCUAUCAGCUUGAUGGUGGGGUGAUGGCCUACAAAGGCUUUGGCGGGUAGCCGGCCUGAGCGGGUGCCCCGUCACGUUGGGGCUGAGACGCGCCCCAGGCUCCUGCGGGGGACAGGAGUGGGAAAUAUUGCACGAUGGGCGAAAGCCUGAGGCAGCGGCGCCGCGUGAGGGGUGGGCGCCUUCGGGUUAUAACCCUCUUUCUCGCAUGGACGGGCCGGAAUAGGGGGUUGUGGUGACGGUAGUGAAUAAAAAAGCGCCGGCUAACUACGUG